GGGGAGGCAGCAGUGGGGAAUAUUGCGCAAUGGGGGAAACCCUGACGCAGCAACGCCGCGUGGAGGAAGAAGGUCUUCGGAUUGUAAACUCCUGUCUUCAGGGACGAAUAAUGACGGUACCUGAGGAGGAAGCCACGGCUAACUACGUGCCAGCAGCCGCGGUAAUACGUAGGUGGCAAGCGUUGUCCGGAAUUAUUGGGCGUAAAGGGCGCGUAGGCGGCACCCUAAGUCAGAUGUGAAAUCCCGGGGCUUAACUCCGGACGUGCAUUUGAAACUGGGGAGCUUGAGUGCAGGAGAGGUAAGUGGAAUUCCUAGUGUAGCGGUGAAAUGCGUAGAUAUUAGGAGGAACACCAGUGGCGAAGGCGACUUACUGGACUGUAACUGACGCUGAGGCGCGAAAGCGUGGGGAGCAAACAGGAUUAGAUACCCCGGUAGC
rnacentral:rRNA from 1 species